rnacentral:rRNA from 1 species
AAUCAACGCUGGCGGCGUGCCUCAGACAUGCAAGUCGAACGAGAAAGUCCCCUUCGGGGGAUAAGUAAAGUGGCGCACGGGUGAGUAACACGUAGGUAAUCUACCUUCGGGUGGGGAAUAACCCGAGGGAAACUUGGGCUAACACCGCAUAAUGCAGCGGCACCACAUGGUGACAGUUGUUAAAGCGGGGGAUUUUAGGACCUCGCGCCUGAAGAGGAGCCUGCGGCGGAUUAGCUAGUUGGGAGGUAACGGCUCACCAAGGUAACGAUCCGUAGCCGGCCUGAGAGGGCGGUCGGCCACACUGACACUGACAUACGGGUCAGACUCCUACGGGAGGCAGCAGUCGGGAAUUUUGGGCAAUGGGCGAAAGCCUGACCCAGC